rnacentral:rRNA from 1 species
GACGAACGCUGGCGGCGUGCUUAACACAUGCAAGUCGAACGGAAAGGCUCCAGCUUGCUGGAGUCCUCGAGUGGCGAACGGGUGAGUAACACGUGGGUAACCUGCCCUGCACUCUGGGAUAAGCCUGGGAAACUGGGUCUAAUACUGGAUAUGACCUUUCUCCUUAUGGGGUUUGGUGGAAAGUUUUUCGGUGUAGGAUGAGCCCGCGGCCUAUCAGCUUGUUGGUGGGGUGAUGGCCUACCAAGGCGACGACGGGUAGCCGGCCUGAGAGGGUGAUCGGCCACAUUGGGACUGAGAUACGGCCCAGACUCCUACGGGAGGCAGCAGUGGGGAAUAUUGCACAAUGGGCGGAAGCCUGAUGCAGCGACGCCGCGUGAGGGAUGACGGCCUUCGGGUUGUAAACCUCUUUCAGCAGGGACGAAGCGUAAGUGACGGUACCUGCAGAAGAAGCACCGGCUAACUAUGUG